UACGUAGGUGACAAGCGUUAUCCGGAUUUACUGGGUGUAAAGGGCGUGUAGGCGGUUUUGCAAGUCAGAUGUGAAAUUCCCAGGCUUAACCUGGGCGCUGCAUCUGAAACUGCAAGACUUGAGUACUGGAGAGGAUAGUGGAAUUCCUAGUGUAGCGGUAAAAUGCGCAGAUAUUAGGAGGAACACCGGUGGCGAAGGCGACUAUCUGGACAGUAACUGACGCUGAGGCGCGAAAGCGUGGGGAGCAAACAGGAUUAGAUA
rnacentral:rRNA from 1 species